ACAAAGUCGUUGUAGUAUAGUGGUAAGUAUUUCCCCCUGUCACCCGGACGACCCGGGUUCGAUCCUCGGCAUUUUGUG